UUGUUUGGGUCAGGCGUAUUUCUCUCGGCUGUUCAUCAUUUUAUUUCGAGUUUGUAAUUUGGUGAAUCGCGGAUUUUUCAAUUGUUGAUCGACUGCAUUUAGCCAUUACGGACGUUUUUAGUGUUUUAUUACAAAGUCGUUAUGUUCUUUGCGUUCGUUGUGCGUAUUGCAAGAUGGUAGCGUGCUAUCAACUUGUUUACACUGCACGUUUGCAAGAUACAGGUAGCAUGCAACGUCUUGCAACGUUUGUUGUGAUAUUAUUUGGACAAUGAAUCGGAGUAUGGGCAAUGUUAUGCGUGGAAGCCAAGAAAGAUCGGUACAGUGCAGACUUUUUUAAAUUUUAAUUUACCUUUUAUUCAUACGCGUGCAGUAAAGUCUUUGCUUAGGCCGAUAUCUUGUUAUUACUGUUAAGAUGCUUAUCUAACCGUUUCUAGUAUUACUGUAUUUAUGUGAUCUUGGUGUCUAGCAGGCGAACAAAAUGCAAUAGGACCACGAUUCUUUUAUCGGAUAAUAAGUAUUGAAUUUGUGUAUCAUUUUCAUAAGUAAUUUGUGUGAUUAACACACGGCACACCUGCAAAAAUGUCAUUUUUGUGUUUCGGUGUGCAAAUUUUUUGUCCUUUUAGGUGUCUAGCAGGCGACCAGAAUGUCCUAGGACCACGCUUCUUUCUUCAGAUUGUGUUUAGCAGGCGAACAGAAUUUCCUACAAUAACGAUUAUUUCACCAGAUUGUGUUUAGCAGGCGAACAUAAUGUCCUAGAACAACGAUUAUUUCAUCAGAUUGUGUCUAGAGGGCGACCAGAAUGUCCUAGGACAACGAUCCUUUCAUGAGAUUGUGUCUAGCAGGCGAUCAGAAUGUCCUAGGACAACGAUUCUUUCAACAGAUUGUGUCUAGCAGGCGAUCAGAAUGUCCUAGGACAACGAUCCUUUCAUCAGAUUGUAAGUAUUGAAUUUGUUUAUAAUUCUCAUAAGUAAUUUGGGUGAUUAGCACAAGGGAAACCUGCAAAAAUGUCAUUUUUGUGCUUUGAUGUGUUAAUUUUUGAUUGUUUUAGAUCUCUAACGGGCGAAUGAUAUGCCCUAGGACCACAAUUCUUUCAUCAGGUUGUAUGUAUUAAAUUUGUUUUUCAUUUUCAUAAGUAAUUUAGGUGAUUAGCACACGGGAAGCUUGCAAAAAUGUCAUUUUUGUUCUUUGAUGUGCUAAUUUUUGGUUAUUUUAGGUGUCUCGUAGGCGAUUGAAAUGUCCGAGGACACCGAUUUUUUUUCAUCAAGUAUUGAAUUUGUUUAUCAUUUUCGUAAAUUUUCAUCCUUCAUACCAUGGAAAGUGAUUUAAAUUAGUUUUUUUUAAUAUUAGCAAAUGCAGAUUUCUGGGUGAUUUAUUUCACCGUUCCAAAGCUAGAUGGCUCUAGUCGGCGAUGUUUAAACUUGUGCGCGGGUAUCAGCUAUGUAUUUUGUUUUGUUUCGCCGCGGUCAGAUGGCGCUUUUAUUGAUUUGGUUUAAAUUCAUACUUCAUUUUUGUUAUUUUUAGUGCGCUGAGUUGCGGUACGUACGUCACUUUUAUAGACAGCUUUUAUGUUUAACAAAACAUGAACUAACAAAAUUUGCAUACUUAGGCUUCUUUAUGCUCUAAUUUUCGGUUGUUUAGGUGUCUAGCGGGCAAAGUUGUUUACCAUUGUCAAAAUUCAACAUUUGCAUUUAAUUCAAGGCAAAUCCUAUUUGUUAAUUAAAAACUUUCUUGCCAAAUAAUGUUUUUGUAAACUUCUCUUCAUAACUUGGUAACAUGCAAUAUAUAUUUGUAGUCACAUUUCUGUCGUAUGCAUGUAGAAGAAUACCCCUCCAACUGCGGGUCUGUUAUCAAUUCUGUGGCUUGCAUAGUUCGGCUAGUCGGUUGAGCGCUGUUGCGUGGUGCGCACGUGUUUUCUUUAUUAAUCAAACAUGGUGACGAAUUCUUGCGUUUCUUGAUAUUUUGUAGCAUUACUAGAAUCGAUUGACAAUCAGAGGCAUUUAGUUGGAACAGCCCAGUGUAGCGCAUAACGAAUGAUUUGAGUGAUUCUUAGCGGUGCGCGCGUGGAAUCCGUCGGAUAUGUUCCGGUGACUAUGGAUACAAGUGAUUGUAUCCAAGUACAAGUGAGUACAUUUGGAAUCCCCGCGAGGAAUAGUAAAGAAGUGCGUAUCAUCAAUUCUACAUACUAUUUGCGGAAACGUGUUUGUACGCUUUAGUCCAUUGAUAGACGAACAAAGGAGUAAGUAGCAUGAAAUAAAACUUAACUUAACUUUAACUUUUCAAAUCCUACAGUUACCAUGUUAUUGCUUUAUAACAAUUGUAAAUGUUCAGUCAAUAAAGAAUAUUUUAAAGGAAA